rnacentral:rRNA from 1 species
UGCAAGUCGAACGGCAGCAUGUUGAUUCUUCGGAAUUGAUGAUGGCGAGUGGCGGACGGGUGGGUAAUGCGUAGGAAUCUACCCUAAAGUGGGGAAUAACCUAGGGAAACUUAGGCUAAUACCGCAUAAUCUUUUAGAAGCAAAGCUGGGGACCUUCGGGCCUGGCGCUUUAGGAUGAGCCUACGUCAGAUUAGCUUGUUGGUGGGGUAAUGGCCUACCAAGGCAACGAUCUGUAGCUGGUCUGAGAGGAUGAUCAGCCACACUGGGACUGAGACACGGCCCAGACUCCUACGGGGGGCAGCAGUGGGGAAUAUUGGACAAUGGGCGAAAGCCUGAUCCAGCAAUGCCGCGUGUGUGAUGAAGGCCUUCGGGUCGUAAAGCACUUUCAGUUGGGAAGAGGGCUUAUUGGUUAAUACCCAAUAAGCUGACGUUACCUUCAAAAGAAGCACCGGCUAACUCUGUGCCAGCAGCCGCGGUAAUACAGAGGGUGCGAGCGUUAAUCGGAAUUACUGGGCGUAAAGGGCACGUAGGUUGGUAUUUAAGUCAGAUGUGAAAUCCUCAAGCUCAACUUGAGAACUGCAUUUGAAGCUGAAUAUCUAGAGUUUGGUAGAGGGAAGUGGAAUUUCCGAUGUAGCGGUGAAAUGCAUAGAUAUCGGAAGGAACACCAGUGGCGAAGGCGGCUUCCUGGACCAAUACUGACACUGAGGUGCGAAAGCGUGGGUAGCAAACAGGAUUAGAUACCCUGGUAGUCCACGCCGUAAACGAUGAGAACUAGGCGUUGGGAGUAAUCUCAGUGCCGCAGCUAACGCAUCAAGUUCUCCGCCUGGGGAGUACGGCCGCAAGGUUGAAACUUAAAGGAAUUGACGGGGGCCCGCACAAGCGGUGGAGCAUGUGGUUUAAUUCGAUGCAACGCGAAAAACCUUACCUACCCUUGACAUACUCGGAACUCUUUAGCGAUAAAGAGGUG